GCAAGUCGAACGAGAACGGGUAUAAGUUUACUUAUACUGUCAGCUAAGUGGCGCACGGGUGAGUAAUAUAUAGUUAACCUGCCUCAAAGAAGGGAAUAAUUGUUGGAAACGACUUGUAACUCCCUAUAUGCCUUUAUUACAUAAGUGAGCAAGGGAAAUAUUUAUAGCUUUGAGAUGGGACUGUACGGUAUCAGUUAGUUGGUGAGGUAAUGGCUCACCAAGACUAUGACGCCUAACUGGUUUGAGAGGAUGAUC
rnacentral:rRNA from 1 species